rnacentral:misc_RNA from 1 species
GAAAUGCGAUACGUAAUGUGAAUUGCAGGACUCAGUGAAUCAUCAAAAUCUUGAACGCACAUGGCGCCCUAGAGUCUCCGGACUCUGGGGCAUAUCUGUUUGAGUGUCACAUAACCCUCUCAUACACACCCAGUUUGCCUUUGCGGGCUCAUUGCGCGUGCGUGUGGACGUUGACCGUUGUGUAGCUCGUCUGCACAUCGGUUUAAAAGCAGUGGUGAGCGGUUGCUGGACAACACUCCGCACACAGUGACUGGGUAGUGUUUCGACACAAACUAGUCUACUGGCUUACGUGUGGGCUCAUAGUGUUACCGGCUAGGCCGUGCGCCUCAAACCGGCGCAGCGCUAAAUACGCUGCAUACCCUUAUGACCUCAAAUCAGGUAAGAAUACCCGCCGAAUUUA